rnacentral:rRNA from 1 species
GAGGAAUAUUGGUCAAUGGGCGGAAGCCUGAACCAGCCAAGUAGCGUGCAGGAUGACGGCCCUAUGGGUUGUAAACUGCUUUUAUACAGGAAUAAAGUUAGCCACGUGUGGUUAUUUGUAGGUACUGUAUGAAUAAGGACCGGCUAAUUCCGUGCCAGCAGCCGCGGUAAUACGGAAGGUCCAGGCGUUAUCCGGAUUUAUUGGGUUUAAAGGGAGCGUAGGCCGUCUGUUAAGCGUGUUGUGAAAUGUAGAUGCUCAACAUCUGAAUUGCAGCGCGAACUGGCAGACUUGAGUGUGCGCAACGUAGGCGGAAUUCGUGGUGUAGCGGUGAAAUGCUUAGAUAUCACGAAGAACUCCGAUUGCGAAGGCAGCUUACGGGAGCACAACUGACGCUGAAGCUCGAAAGUGCGGGUAUCGAAC